rnacentral:rRNA from 1 species
AUUGAACGCUGGCGGCAUGCCUUACACAUGCAAGUCGAACGGCAGCGCGGACUUCGGUCUGGCGGCGAGUGGCGAACGGGUGAGUAAUACAUCGGAACGUACCCUGUUGUGGGGGAUAACUAGUCGAAAGAUUAGCUAAUACCGCAUACGACCUGAGGGUGAAAGUGGGGGACCGGAAACGGCCUCAUGCAGCAGGAGCGGCCGAUGUCUGAUUAGCUAGUUGGUGGGGUAAAGGCCCACCAAGGCGACGAUCAGUAGCUGGUCUGAGAGGACGAUCAGCCACACUGGGACUGAGACACGGCCCAGACUCCUACGGGAGGCAGCAGUGGGGAAUUUUGGACAAUGGGGGCAACCCUGAUCCAGCAAUGCCGCGUGUGUGAAGAAGGCCUUCGGGUUGUAAAGCACUUUUGUCCGGAAAGAAAUAGCGCUGGUUAAUACCUGGCGUGGAUGACGGUACCGGAAGAAUAAGCACCGGCUAACUACGUG